CGGUGCCCGCGAGGGCGCUGAGGAAAGUCCCCCCUCCGAACGAAAGGCGGCCCCGUGCAAGCGGGGGUCCCGAGAGGGACGGCAAGGGCGCAGAAACGACACAGCCCGCGUCGCUAGGAUGAUUCGCCCGGCGAUGACGUUGACGCGGGAUCUGGUGAGACGGCGACUCCCCGCUGGAGCAAGUCCAAGUGGGCGCGAAACCUUCUUCUGUAAUAUCUUCUCCGUGUGGGGCG
rnacentral:RNase_P_RNA from 1 species